CAUAUGCAUCAAGCCCUUUUCUUUAUUUCAUAUGCUUUCGGUGAUUAAUUUAUUUCAUAUGCUUUCGGUGAGUGUAUGCUGAUAUAUAUGUAAUAUAUAUUAAUGUAUAGUUAAAUAUGUAGUGGCCUCGUGGCCUGCUUGUUUGUGUUUUUGGCCUCGUGGCCUCGUGGCCUCCAUCUGAUCAUAUUGUAUAAACCUCCUAUAUAAUGGAGUAGCAUUGUAAGGCUUAAGAGAUUGAAAAUAAAGAGUCUAUGUUUAGUCUUUCAA